GUGUCAGUGAUCAGGCUGAUCACAGCAAUCAACACAAACAAAGCAGAUUGAACUGGUGAACCCGGUUUCGCGCCUCUUCUCCGCAGUUUGAGCGGCGCGCUGCUCUCCGGCUUCAGUGACUCAGGAAACACCACAGAGGGAACGACAGCCUCCUGACAUGGCAGCUCUUCUUGAGUUUAAUUCCGUGGAUUUGGAUCAGCCGCUCUUCCAGCCUCACCCAUCUGAGCUGGUCUUCCAGAAGUUCACUCCUGCACGGACCUACGUGUUACCUCUGCGGCUCGUCAACAGAGACAAGGGAAUUUCAGGCUUCUGAGAGGGACCUUCCUCUCACUCUCAGCUUUGACUGUCCAGCCCGGGACGUCCAGCCAGGGCAGCGCCUGCUCUCCUCCUCAGGUGGAGGACUUGGUGGAGGACUUGGUGGAGCCUGUGCUGCAUCGGCCCUCCUCCUUGGACCUUCCUCUCCAGACUUUGUCUGACUCUGUCCAGCCCGGGACGUCCAGCCAGGGCAGCACCUGUUCCCCUCCUCAGAUGGAGGACUUCAUGGAGCAGCCUGUGCUGCAUCGGCCGCCCUCCUCCUGUCCUCACUGUGGCUCAUCUGUGCUCACCCCUGAACACUUUGCAUUUAAACAUGAUGUUUAUUGUGAGGUCACAGGUGAGCAUGGGGGGACUCUGGAGGACUGGCUGAAGGACAGGGGGGUGCCCAGGACCACCAUUUGGCGCCUUAAAAAAAAAAGGCAACAGAUGCUGAGUGGCACGCUCCCCCCCCCUAAGUCCCGGACCUGUCCCAAAUGUGGGGAGAGGAGGACCAGAGCCACUGGACACUCCAGACUGAACAGGGAGACGUUCUGCCAGAAGUCAGACCCACAAGGCAGAACAGUGGAGCAGUGGCUCACAGAGAAGAGGGGGGGGUCACCAG